UUUACGAUGGCAGUUUAUAUGGUGGAUGAUGAUUAAUCACUCUACAAUCGCCUGUCACGUGACUUCUUCAACCCGUUCUGUAGAUGGCCCUAAACAACUAUUCGAAACCCGGAAACCAUAACCCUCUAAUCAGAUCCCAACCCUAACGGCCUAACCCUAACCAAACCCUUUACAAAAGCAUAUACUGAAACACUAUAGAGAAAUUAGGCUAACUUCCUUAUACGGUCAUAUCACGUGAUCGAGACAGUUUUUCGCCAAUAUCUCGUUAGGGGAGAAUUUUAACCUUAUGUCAUGGGGGUAAUAGCAAAUUUUAGUUAAAGAGUAAAUCAAAGUUAGCAAUCAUUGAACUCAAUAGUUAAAAAGGAGAAGCUAAAAGCGCUGAAAGAC